UGGGGAAUAUUGCACAAUGGGCGCAAGCCUGAUGCAGCCAUGCCGCGUGUGUGAAGAAGGCCUCGGGUUGUAAAGCACUUUCAGCGAGGAGGAAGGUGGUGAGCUUAAUACGCUCAUCAAUUGACGUUACUCGCAGAAGAAGCACCGGCUAACUCCGUGCCAGCAGCCGCGGUAAUACGGAGGGUGCAAGCGUUAAUCGGAAUUACUGGGCGUAAAGCGCACGCAGGCGGUUUGUUAAGUCAGAUGUGAAAUCCCCGGGCUCAACCUGGGAACUGCAUUUGAAACUGGCAAGCUAGAGUCUCGUGGAGGGGGGUAGAAUUCCAGGUGUAGCGGUGAAAUGCGUAGAGAUCUGGAGGAAUACCGGUGGCGAAGGCGGCCCCCUGGACGAAGACUGACGCUCAGGUGCGAAAGCGUGGGGCAGCAAACAGGAUUAGAUACCCUGGUAGUCCAGCGCUGUAAACGAUGUCGAUUUUGGAGGUUGUGCCCUUGAGGCGUGGCUUCCGGAGCUAACGCGUUAAAGUCGACCGCCUGGGGAGUACGGCCGCAAGGUUAAAACUCAAAGGAAUUG
rnacentral:rRNA from 1 species